rnacentral:rRNA from 1 species
AACGUAGGAGACGAACGUUAUCCGGAGUUACUGGGCGUAAAGGGCGUGUAGGCGGUUUGUUAAGUCUGGCGUGAAAGCUCUCGGCUAAACCGGGAGAGGUCGUCGGAUACUGGCGAACUCGAGGAUGGUAGAGGCGUGUGGAAUUCCGGGUGUAGUGGUGAAAUGCGUAGAGAUCCGGAGGAACACCAGUGGCGAAGGCGACACGCUGGGCCAUACCUGACGCUAAAGCGCGACAGCAUGGGGAGCAAACGGG